GCGCCACCAAGAUGCCCAAGAGGAAGGUCAGCUCAGCCGAAGGGGCGGCGAAGGAGAAGCCCAAGAGGAGAUCGGCGAGGGCAGGAGCCCAAGAGCAGGU